UACGGAGGGUGCAAGCGUUAUCCGGAUUCACUGGGUUUAAAGGGUGCGUAGGUGGGCAGGUAAGUCCGUGGUGAAAUCCCUGAGCUUAACUCGGGAACUGCCAUGGAUACUAUUUGUCUUGAAUAUUGUGGAGGUAAGCGGAAUAUGUCAUGUAGCGGUGAAAUGCUUAGAUAUGACAUAGAACACCAGUUGCGAAGGCAGCUUACUACACAGUUAUUGACACUGAGGCACGAAAGCGUGGGGAUCAAACAGG
rnacentral:rRNA from 1 species